rnacentral:rRNA from 1 species
GAUGAACGCUGGCGGCGUGCCUAAUACAUGCAAGUCGAGCGAACGGACGAGAAGCUUGCUUCUCUGAUGUUAGCGGCGGACGGGUGAGUAACACGUGGAUAACCUACCUAUAAGACUGGGAUAACUUCGGGAAACCGUAGCUAAUACCGGAUAAUAUUUUGCACCGCAUGGUUCAAAAGUGAAUGACGGUCUUGCUGUCACUUAUAGAUGGAUCCGCGCUGCAUUAGCUAGUUGGUAAGGUAACGGCUUACCAAGGCAACGAUGCAUAGCCGACCUGAGAGGGUGAUCGGCCACACUGGAACUGAGACACAGUCCAGACUCCUACGGGAGGCAGCAGUAGGGAAUCUUCCGCAAUGGGCGAAAGCCUGACGGAGCAACGCCGCGUGAGUGAUGAAGGUCUUCGGAUCGUAAAACUCUGUUAUUAGGGAAGAACAGAUGUGUAAGUAACUGUGCACAUCUUGACGGUACCUAAUCAGAAAGCCACGGCUAACUACGUG